CAAAGUCAUUUUUUGAUUGGUAAAUAAAUGUAUUGAUCAAAAUUCUGAGUGCACGGACAUCCCCAUGCGUACACAAUGAACUUCACAAUUGGAAGGCAAGGAUUUAUUCUUGGAAGACAAGUGGGAACUUGGAAGGCAAGAAUUAUUCUUGGAAGGCAAGGUGCAACUUGAAUUGGCUUGUUUGGCACUUUGUCAGACCAGGUGGGGAGCGCUCGGACCCUGGCCAGUUGGAGGCACAUCCUGCGAUUAACCGGACUGUGUGAAGAGGGGCCGGAUCACAGACCCAAGGAUUAGUCUAGAAUAGGACACCUUGUAAAAAAAAAAAAAAAAAAUGAACUUCACAAUUGGUCUAAAGAUCCAUAACAAGAAAUUGAAAAUCAAUCAAAACAUGACAGCUUCGUCUAAUUAUCACUAAGGCUACCUUCGAAAAUUG
rnacentral:lncRNA from 1 species